rnacentral:misc_RNA from 1 species
AAAAAUAGGGCACUUAUGCGCUAUAAACCAUUGUAAACCUACCUCGUCUCGUUGCCUCGGCGGGCGGCUCCCGGGGGAGCCCUCCUGGCCAGCGCGGUGUCCGCCGGCAGCGACCCCUUUCUCUACUCUGAAAGUCUCCUCUGAGUGGCACGCUGAAGAGCAAAACUAUCA